GUGGGAAAAGAAGACGCUGUUGAGCUUGACCCUAGUCCGACUCUGUGAAGAGAUAUGAUGGGUUUAGUGUAAGUGGGAGGCGGGAAUCGCCCUUCGGGGUCUCUCGUUCGACCAUGAAAGACCACUCCCAGAAUGGUUUCUUUACUUGUUCAGUUAAGCGGGAUCUGUCAAUUAUUUUCCAUGGUGACAUUAAGCACACGUUAUUGUGUUGGUCGCACCAUGUGUGUGGCUGGCGUGCCGGCGUCUUGGUCACAACAAUCUGGCCAGGGCUAGUGAUAUGCGUGUUUUGCCCUCUACUGCCUGUAAGAUGUUGCCGCAAGGCGGCAGUCCACAGCUGGCAGACGGUGGGCGCAUGUGUCCGGUUUUGGUGCUAUCUGGCAGGUUUGGCGACGUGCGACCCGAUCUGAAGACAGUGUCAGGCAGGGAGUUUGACUUGNGGCCAGGGCUAGUGAUAUGCGUGUUUUGCCCUCUACUGCCUGUAAGAUGUUGCCGCAAGGUGGCAGUCCACAGCUGGUAGACGGUGGGCGCAUGUGUCCGGUCUUGGUGCUAUCUGGCAGGUUUGGCGACGUGCAACCCGAUCUGAAGACAGUGUCAGGCAGGGAGUUUGACUUGGGUGGCACAUCUGUCAUAUCAUAACGCAGGUGCCAAGGUGAGCUCAACCAGGACAGAAACCUGGCGUUGAGUAAAAGGGCAAAAGCUUACUCAAUUUUGAUUCUCAGUACGAAUACAGACCGUUAAAGCGUGGCCUAGCGAUCCUUUUGAUCAACCGAUAUUCACAGUUUGAAGCAAGAGGUGUCAGAAUCGCAACCACAUGGAUAACUGGUUUUUGGUGGCCAAGCGUUCAUAGCGACGUCAUUUUUUAUCCUUCGCUGUCAGCUCUUCCUAUCAUUGUGAAGCAGGAUUCACCAAGCGUUGGAUUGUUCACCCACUAAAAUGGAACGUGAGCUGGGUUAAGAACGUCGUUAGAUAGGUUAUUUUUACCCUACAGAUUGUUGAACUGUGUAAGCAGUGAAAUACAAUCUGGCCGUUGCAAUGGUAAUCCUGUUUAGUACGAGAGGAACCGCAGCUUCAGACAUUUGGUACAUGUGCCUGGUCGAGUGGCCACUGGUGUGAAGCUACCAUAUGAGGGAUUAAGACUGAACGCCUCUAAGCCUGAAUUCCGUCCAGAGAUGCGCAACGAUACAGCUUGGC
rnacentral:ncRNA from 1 species